GAUGAACGCUGGCGGCGUGCUUAACACGUGCAAGUCGAGCGAGAAAAGUUCUUCGGAGCUUUUCUAGCGGCGGACGGGUGAGUAACACGUGGGCAACCUGCCUCAUAGAGGGGAAUAGCCUUCCGAAAGGAAGAUUAAUACCGCAUAACAUUGUUGAAAGGCAUCUUUUAACAAUCAAAGGAGCAAUCCGCUAUGAGAUGGGCCCGCGGCGCAUUAGCUAGUUGGUGAGGUAACGGCUCACCAAGGCGACGAUGCGUAGCCGACCUGAGAGGGUGAUCGGCCACACUGGAACUGAGACACGGUCCAGACUCCUACGGGAGGCAGCAGUGGGGAAUAUUGCACAAUGGGGGAAACCCUGAUGCAGCAACGCCGCGUGAGUGAUGAAGGUCUUCGGAUUGUAAAGCUCUGUCUUUAGGGACGAUAAUGACGGUACCUAAGGAGGAAGCCACGGCUAACUACGUGCCAGCAGCCGCGGUAACAC
rnacentral:rRNA from 1 species